AUAAAUCAUAUUGGCCAGGAGAAAGGAUGUUCAGUUCCCUAGGCUUUUCAUCAUGGUCAAUUAGGGAAUCAGCCCAAAAGAUAAACAGCCUGGGCUCAGAGGUAAUAAAUAAGGUGCCAAGGCCACACCUGUUCGGAGUGGAUGUUGAAGUCUGUGUUACUUCAGUUCUAUCUCCUAUUCCCAGUCCAUUCUGCAGAUGAGAAAACUGAGACCCACACAGUGUACAUGCUGAUCUUAAUGAGAAUGAUGACAAUAACGGGAGGAAAAAAAUGAGCAGAAACUGCUAACAUCUGGAGGCUGCUGUCCAGUUUACGUAAUCUCUUGCUGCAGAGGAGGAACACGGGAUCCCCAGCCAGAUGGUCCGUGGGUGACUUCACAGCACAUGUGCUACCUCCAAGAGUUCUUCAUUCCCAUGGUCCACAUGAAGAAAAUGGACCCCAAAGGAACAAAAGCAACAAAGAUAAAAAUUCCUUCUCCUCCCAUGGGGGUGGGAGGUGAAGAACGAAGCAAGCAAACACUCAUAGAGAAAUGUGGGCUCCCAUGCAGAAACCAGAGUGUUAAAAUGGAUCCCUCCCACCCUGAACUCUGACUGGUUUGGUUCACCUCAAAGACCAUCCUCCUGCUAUAUGGUUUCGAUAAGUCUAAAAAGAUGAGCCAUUCAAGCCACAGUGUCUUCUAUCUCCAAGCUGGUGAGACACACUGCAGUCCUCUACAGAACAGAAGAGAGACAGUGCACAAGAUUGCUCUUGGGAGCUUGAUGAUGAUUGACAAGGUGUACUCUGGUCCUUGCCUGCCUCUGCAGGCUUCUCUCUUCUCGAACGCACUCUAGUCUAAGCUCCAGACACAAAUUGUCGUUGCCCUGAGUGGACCAUGUUCCCUCUCACCUCCCCACGUUUGCAGAAGCUUUCUUCAAAUCCCCAGAGCUGCCUUUUCUGUGACUAGUCCCCAUUUGUCCUUUAUUCACAGUUUAACCUCUCAAAAACCUGCCUGGAAACCCACCCCCAGAAGGGCUAAUGGACCCUCACUAGGUCUUCCUAUACCAUCAUCCGCUUCCCCAGUUAAAAUUGUACUUAGCGUAUUUGUGAAAUGAAUAACUGGAUGACUUUCUCCAUGCUGGGCAUUGUGCUAAAUGUUUCAAGUACAUAAGGCAUUCAAAUCUAGAAGAGCCCCGUGUUUGGUCCUAUUAUUAUCCCCAUUUUACAGACAAUGAAAUUGAGGUUUCAAGAGGGUAAGUCAUUCCCAUGCUGUCCAGUUAAUCUAUUUUGAAUGGAUGUGGAUAUUCAGGAGAAUCUGAUGAGAUGGGCUGAUCUGAUUCUCUCUCGGAUGCCCUAUGAUUUGGCACUACUUGGGGGCUCAGGGGCCUGAUGGAGCUGUGAUCACAACCUGGCUCUUCACUAAUUAGCUGGUGUCAAUGACCAGCACACUUUAGCCCUGAGUCCGUUUCCUCUUUGGCAAAUUGGCAAAAUAAUGACUACCUUCCCAACUGUUAUGAGGACAAAAAAAUGAGAAGCUGUUGAGAAAGCACGUAGCACCACAUCCAGCAUUUAAAAAACAAAUUUUUUAAAGUAAAAGAUGAGGAGUUUCCCUUUCCUUAAAGGAAGUAAUCUGUCUCUGCUACCUUGUGCCACAGUUAAACUGCACAGGCUCAAUAACUUAUGUUUUGGUUAAACGUUUUUAAUUUUUUUAGAGUGAAAUCCGAGUUUUUGUUGGCAAGUGAUUGAACACGCUGGGCCCAGCCUGCAGGCCCACAGUCCAUUAGGAAAUUUACGAGGCGAGAUGGGGACCUUCAGCUCAAGUACUCCCUUCAGACGCAGUACUUACAAAGCCAUCAAUUUCCUUAACAAAGAGCAUUGGCUUAAAUGCCCCUUAAAGCAGUGUUAUUUACACAGCUAUCCACUUCCUUUUGAAUUCUCUGCCUGGGGGGUGGCAGACCUGCAGUUCUUUCCAGCUACGAGUUAAUUAGGCUCUCUCCCCAAAUGGAAGCAAGCCGCAGACUGAGAUUUGGUAUUAAAAAGCAGCUCAAUUUGGGGCCAUCCGAGAGUCUUAUGGGGUGAUCCAAAUACCACCAAAAUCACUGGUUCCACCCACCCAUUCUUCUAAAAUUCUAAAGCCUUUGGACCUUACCAAAGAGUAAUGACCUCUGUCAGUAUAGAGAUAGAGAAGGAAAGGCAGCAUUUGAGCCCGUCUCUACUUAGUGAAAGAAGCCUCAAAAAAGUACUGCUGGCUAAGAUAGCAUACUUUCUACCUCUUGGUGUAUCGAUAUAGUAACAUUAACAUUUUAAAGAAGCCCCCACCCCUUUUGUGGGGGAACUAGGAUUUGGAUACAAGCAGCCCAGUUCAGGGGUCUGAGCAUGAAACCACCACCCCAAGCCACCUGACCCAAGAUAACCUGCCCGAGAUGACAGCUAAGGGGGAAAGUCUCCUAUUCAAACAGGAUUGUCUGACUCUAAAGACCAGCAAAGCUCAACUACACUUUCUUGCCUGAAAAAUAAAACUGUCUCUUAAGAAAUA
rnacentral:lncRNA from 1 species